CAGAAAGUAAACGCGGGUCAAACCGCGAACUUUUAAACCUUUGACGAUUGACUCACGUUGCCUCGGCGGGUUCGCCCGCCAGAGGAUACAUACAAAACUCCUGAUUUAACGGUGUUGUCUGAGCUACAAGCAAUGAAUCA
rnacentral:misc_RNA from 1 species